rnacentral:pre_miRNA from 1 species
UCUCCAACCAAUUUUCGGUACCUUAAUAUAUCAAGUGUGGUACCAAAGAUGAUUGGAGAGA